ensembl:lncRNA
CCCCGCCCUUCGCGGGCCUUGGAAGUAGAGGAUUGCAGUCUUGGGGCCACUGCUCUUGCAACCUUGGCUGGUCGAGUGGGCGUCGCUAGAAGGACGCAACUUUGCGCCAAAGUCGGGGAGGGCGCGCGAAGCCGGGGGGACAUGUGUUUGAUCCCUAGUCAGGAAACUAAGAUUCCACCUGCUGUGGAGCAACUAAGCCCGUGCGCCCUAACUCUAGAGAGUCUGUGUGCUACAUCGAAGGAUUCCACAUGACCCAACGAAGACCCUGCAUGUUGCAAUUAAGACCUGACACAGCCAAAUAAAAGAAAUGAAUAUUAAAUAAAAGAAAGAAACUGAGGCUCAGAGAGGGGAAGUCAUUUGCCCAAGUUGACACAGCAUGUUGGUGGUAGGGCUGGAAUUUGAACCAAUCCCUUGGUGGACCCAAGAAGCCUCACUGGAGGCACGAAGACCUCUGGACAGGAGGGUGGACGGCCCCUUCGCAGGCUCCCGAGGCAACUGGGAUCCUAGAUCCCUGAUCAGGGAUUGAACUCGAACCCCCUGCAUUGGAAGGCAAAGUCUUAACCACUGGACGACCACGGAAGUCUAGGGGACUCUAUUUUGAAAGGUUCAUCUGCUUGGCUGAAGGAAGGCAGAGGGUGGCCUGGGCGGAUGUUGGAGCUGGGACCUUCACUCCGCCUGCUCCGAUCCAGGCAAGCAGUUCCUAAAAAGCUGCCCUCAGGGCCUGAACUGGGACCAGCCAUAUUCACUCGGCCCUGCAGGAGUUCCAAAGCACUUUCACCCUUUAUCGUUUUU